rnacentral:rRNA from 1 species
UACGUAGGGGGCAAGCGUUGUCCGGAAUCAUUGGGCGUAAAGAGCGCGUAGGCGGCCCAGUAAGUCCGCUCUGAAAGUCAGGGGCUCAACCCCUGGAUGCGGGUGGAUACUGCUGGGCUAGAGUCCGGAAGAGGCGAGUGGAAUUCCUGGUGUAGCGGUGAAAUGCGCAGAUAUCAGGAGGAACACCGAUGGCGAAGGCAGCUCGCUGGGACGGUACUGACGCUGAGGCGCGAAAGCGUGGGGAGCAAACAGGAUUAGAUACCCUGGUAGUCCACGCCGUAAACGAUGGACACUAGGUGUGGGAGGUGUCGACUCCUCCCGUGCCGAAGCUAACGCAUUAAGUGUCCCGCCUGGGGAGUACGGCCGCAAGGCUAAA